GAGAGUAUAACUCAGUGGUAGAGUGUGUGCCUUACAAGCACGAAGUCGGGAGUUCGAAACUCUCUGCUCUCA
rnacentral:tRNA from 1 species